rnacentral:misc_RNA from 1 species
AAGUCGUAACAAGGUUUCCGUAGGUGAACCUGCGGAAGGAUCAUUAACACAAAAACAAUCCCAUAUCCACCCCUUUUUAUAACGAACUCUGGUUUUACCAAAAUACCAUUGUCUCUUCUUUAUCCAACUUUUAUUUUUACCCCAACUUCUUAUAACCAAAAUGCAAUAGACUGAUAUUUAUUUAUCUUGAUAAUCUUGAUAAAUGACAUUGAAAACAACUCUUAGCAACGGAUAUCUUGGCUCUC